rnacentral:snRNA from 1 species
GUGCUUGCUUUGGCAGCACAUAUACUAAAAUAGGAACAUACAGAGAAGAUCAGCAUGGCCCCUGUGCAAGGAUGACACGCAACUCUGUGAGGUGGUCCAUAUUUUU